ensembl:lncRNA
UUUUUUUUAUUCCAUCCAGCAGCCAUCAGGUGAAUGUCUAGACAGGGGCAGUACUGUUAGUAUCUAGUUGCAGUGCUUUCCUGCCCAUAAUUGGCUUUUCUCUUUGUGCACCUGAAUGGUGCUUCUUUCUGUCACAAAAAGAAGGCUGUAUGUACUGCUGAAAAAAAAAAAAAAUUCAUCAUUAUAGUUUACACUGGGUAUGCUUUAGAAAUGGAAAAUCCUUUUUUUACAUAUAUAAUGCUUUUUAUUUUUUCCUUUAUAGCUGGUUUACAGUGUUCUGUCAAUUUUCUACUGUACAGCAUGGCGACCCAGUUACACAUACAUGUGUGCAUUCUUUUUCCUCACAUUAGAGGAUUAUGAAAUUGGAAGAGUGAUUGACUUCUCAGAUCUCUUUCAUUUUGAAGCAUAUCUUAUGGAAAUUCAUUGACUUAGCAAAGCUCCUUACAGGGCAGCAAGCAGUGAAAGUCCUGAUGUCUGUUUCCCAAACGGAAAAAGUUGAAACCCUAUUGAGAGGAAAUACUUUUGGUUAACCCAGCCUUUAUUGGCUUAAUCGGAAAAAAUUGGAAGGGACGUUUCAAAGUGUAUGUUAAAAUAUUACUUCGCUGUUUUCUUCUAGGCUAAGCACUUAGGUCUGAAAGACAGAAUUGAUAUACCUGCGGGUCCUGUCCAGCCUGGGCUUGGAGAAGCCUGGAAAAACCUCUCUAAUGAUCUAACCCCAUCUCCUUUGGCUUCAGCUGCAGGAGUUCUGGCACAUAUUGAAUGAAUGUGUCAUAAUGGAAAAUUUAAGUUUUACUUUGCUUCUUCCUUUAAUGGCGCAGUGCUCUUUUGGCUGUCUUUUCUCUACAUAUCCACCCCUUCUUUAUACUGACUGAUAAAAAUCUUUCAAGAAUGAAUGAGUUUCAGAACUGGCUGAGACUGCGUAAGGCCUAUUUCCAGGAGCCUGUAGGAUAGGAACUGAAAUACCAUUUGCUCCUUUUUUGCAUUGCAAAUAUAUUGCAUUUCAGUUACCUUAUAGGCUUUUGUGGGCAAGCCAGGGAAUUUUGCCAUAGUUCAUAUUUCAUGGCUUUUGUGUGAAAGUACAUUCCAUAUUCCAAAUGAUCAAAUUACAAAUGAGCUUUUGGAAUAUAACCCAUUUAUAAGUUGGGGACUUGUCUCUAUCCUAAGAGGUAUGCCUGUUGAAGUUUGGGGAUUACGGAUUUAAGACACAGUGAAUAGGGAUUACUUGGGAUGCAUUAUUCAGAAGGCAUUACAUAGAUAAAUGAAUGGAUGACAAGCUUAUAAAUGUUUCUAAGAGAAAGCUGGCAUUUUGGGGGUUAUACUCGUGACCUUUUAUCCUUGAUUUAAAAAAUUUUAUUUCAGGACAGUCAUUUGUACCUUCCUACGAUUCUGUUACUGUUCACUGAUGUGACCAGUAUGGAAAUUAUUAUUCAGAUAUUUUUAUAAAGUGCAUACAGUAAAUGAGACACUGAGAAAGAUAUUUAAAGGUGUAAAGAAAAAUAAGUUGGACCACAGCUACUAGUUUUGCCUACAAACUAAAUUUGGGGCUAGUCAUCUACUCUAAGGGGGAUAGUUUUUAGGGUUGAAUACCAGGUAAAUUUUUUGGAAAUGGUGAGAUUUACCUUCCCUUUUUCCUGCUUGGUCCCCCAGCAACCCCCCCCCCCCAUAGCUAUCCUUCACUUGUGUUCUAGUUAACACAUCCAUGCUUGGUUAUUAAAGCUGAUGAGAACUUUGGAUGACUUGAAUUUUUUGCAUUUUGCUUUCUUAUUAUUGAGAAAGAGCCUUUUCCCAACCCAUCCAGGACUGAGUAAAUAAAGACUUGAAAUGUCACCUACAAGAAAUUACUUUUGUCUACACUUGUAGGAACUUUUAUUUCUGAAUCACAGAUUGUUCAUGAUCCAGCAGAUAUGAAUAUAGAGAACGAUGGGACAGAACAUUUGAAAUUAGAUCUGCACAGCUGAAAGAGCUUCUUAUACUAAUCACCCCCCUUGGUAUUAGAUUAGCGAGAGAUAUUUUACUAUUCAUGACUUUUUCUUUUUGUGUGUGUGGGAGGAGGCAGAUAAUAACAUAUACGUGGAAAAUACAUAAAUCCCGAUAGUUUACAUAAAGCAAAGAGCUGUGUAACCACCUCUCAGCUCAACAGCGGCUCAUUGUGAGCCCCAAGGAACCUUCCAUAUGCUCCUUUCUGAUCGCAGCACCAUCUCUUCCUAGGAGUAACCAUUAUUAUGACUUACCGCAAAUCAUUUGCUUUAACUACUGUGUAUUUAUUUCUAAACAAUCUGUUUUAGGCAAAGUUUAUGUGAGUGGAAUAAUUCUGUAUUCUUCUUAAUGCCCAGUGUACGUGCUGUUCAUUUAUAUGUAUGGCUUUAGUUUAAAAAAAAAAUCCGGUUGGGGAUCUAGCGUUGCUGUGGCUGUGGUGUAGGCUGGCAGCUGUAGCUCUGAUUAGACCCUUAGCCUGGCAACCUCCAUGUGCUAUGGGUGCAGCCCUAAAAAGCAAAAAAAAAAAA